UUUUGGUUUAGUUAGGAGGCACAUAAUAAUGUGCAUCUGAUGCUCUCUUUGGCCUUUUGAGGGGGCGCCUCAUCUAUCUAUUCUACCUAGAAGUGCCCCCCAAGCAGCCAUAGACAUUC